GGCAUUCUUCUCUUAUUUUCUUAUUUCCAAUCAAGAACUGGUUUGCUAGCAAGUUUCUCCCCUGUUUCUUUAUAUCCAAGAAUCCUUUAAACCCCUUUAAUGGCUUUAGUAUUGUAACAUCUCACAGAUAGCUCUAUGGAUACAGCUAGCACUAGUUAAAAAUUUUCAGAUAAUGGCAAUAUAAUUAAUCUAACAAACUUGACAUUUUCAUUGUUUUAUGCAAAGGACACAAGAUAUAGGUUUGAAAGGGAAAAAGAGGUCACAGAAAAUAAGUUUCGCCUUGUUUUGCCAAGUAAUAUCAUUUACGUUUAUAUUUUUAAAAUUUAAGUGUUAUAAUAAUUUUAGGGAUUACGUAAUAACCUACAUCUUUCAAAAUAUUUCAGACAGCUUUGGAUAAAGGAUUGAACAACAUGACGCUAUUGCUUUGAUAACGACUUCAUGAAAACCCUACCAUAAUGAAUGCAGUCAUCACCAUAAACAAUAUUAAGUACUAAUAUUACAUAGUAACACGAGUCCAGGAUUGAAAGCAGUGAUAUGGAUCAGAGUAAGAAAAACAGAGUAGAAUGAUGAACAACUUUGGGUCUCUUCGGGGGAACCCGACCUCCACAAUAAGUCAAGUAUUUGGGUGAUCAAAUCUCCCUUUUUUUAUUGUUAACACAGCUUAAAUAUAAUACUGGCAUAACUGCCAUGAACCCACAUACAACAUAGUGAAAACAACUAAAACAAACUUACUGAAAAAUAGACAACCAUCUAACAGAACACUAACCCAC
rnacentral:lncRNA from 1 species